UACAGGGGGUGCAAACGUUGCUCGGAAUCAUUGGGCGUAAAGCGCACGUAGGCGGUCUGUUAUGUCGGAUGUGAAAGCCCUUGGCUCAACUGAGGAAGUGCAUCCGAAACUGGCAGGCUAGAGUACUAAAGAGGAUCGCGGAAUUCCCGGUGUAGAGGUGAAAUUCGUAGAUAUCGGGAGGAACACCGGUGGCGAAGGCGGGUCUCUGGGCCGAUAUUGACGCUGAGGAGCGAAAGCGUGGGGAGCGAACAGG
rnacentral:rRNA from 1 species